GGUGCUAUAGUCAAGCUGGUUAAGAUGCCUCGUUGUGGUAGAUUACUGUCUACAGUGAACAGUAUCGCUUUCCAAUUCCGAGGUGGCCCCGGUUCGAAUCCGGGUGGCGCCA
rnacentral:tRNA from 1 species